GUAGGGACACUUCUAUGAGUUACUGUCUGUGAGGAAAUCACUCCCUAAGGCAGGGGUCUCAAACUGGUGGCCCUCCAGAUGUUGCAAAACUUCUACUCCCAGCAUGCCUGGACAUGCCCAGACAGCCAUUUGCUGCAGAUGACCGCUGUCUGGAAUGCUGGGAGUUGAAGUUUUGCAACAUCUGGGGAGCCAACAGUUUGAGACCCCUGCCCUAAGGCAACAAUAACAUGGCUUUAUGAAUAAGCUGCUAGCGUUUGCCGGAACCUUUCUGAAUGGGUGACACAUCAUGUUCUGGACCUAUGUGCGGCUUGCUUUUUGCACGACCAGUGGUACAAUUACAUUUUUCAUUGAACGGCAAAACAAAAAAUUUGUGGGGGAAAUUGAAAAGAAUCAGUGAUCCCGAGGAACUGAAAGCAGCCGUCACUUACAGUUUAUAAAGCGAGUGCAGCUUCAAGAAGACCAAAAGAACAAUUGCAUUUAAUAGAGCCGUCUUCUCAAAGAAAUUUCUAUUAUGCAUCAUGUAAGGUGGACUAAAUAUCUGUCACAGGAUAUCUGAUCUGGACAAGGGGGUUGGUCUUCCCAAAUAUUAACACUAUAAAGAGUCGUGAAUCUGACUAUACAAAUGAUGGAUCCUGAAGUCAGGAGAAUCCUGGAUUUCAGUCCCUUGUCUAAACCAUUUGACAUUAACCGGCGGUGUGCCCUUUACCCUGCACUCCAGGACCACAACUUGACCUUCAGAUGUUGUCAAGCUCU